rnacentral:rRNA from 1 species
GAUGAACGCUAGCGGCAGGCCUAAUACAUGCAAGUCGAACGAGAUUAAGAGGCUUGCUUCUUAUGAAAGUGGCGCACGGGUGCGUAACGCGUAUGCAACCUACCUUAAUCAGGGGGAUAGCCCGAAGAAAUUCGGAUUAAGACCGCAUAAAAACACAGGAUAGCAUUAUCCAAUGUUCAAAUAUUUAUAGGAUUAAGAUGGGCAUGCGUGUCAUUAGCUAGUUGGCGGGGUAACGGCCCACCAAGGCGACGAUGACUAGGGGAUCUGAGAGGAUGACCCCCCACACUGGUACUGAGACAAGGACCAGACGCCGACGGGAGGAAGCAGUAAGGAAUAUUGGUCAAUGGAGGGAACUCUGAACCAGCCAUGCCGCGUGCAGGAAGACAGCCCUCGGGGUCGUAAACUGCUUUUAUUCGGGAAUAAACCUUUCUACGUGUAGGAAGCUGAAUGUACCGAAGGAAUAAGGAUCGGCUAACUCCGUG